UAUAUACUCCCUCCGUCCAGAAAUACUUGUCAUCAAAAUGGAUAAAAGGGAUGUAUCUAGAUGUAUUUUAGUUUUAGAUACAUCCCUUUUUGUCCAUUUUGAUGACAAGUAUUUUCGGACGGAGGGAGUAUAAU
rfam:Triticum aestivum genome assembly, contig: Triticum_aestivum_CS42_TGACv1_scaffold_643876_T_7AS-0.065395_1AL-0.038504